rnacentral:rRNA from 1 species
GACGAAGCGAGCGAACGUUGUUCGGAAUCACUGGGCUUAAAGGGCGCGUAGGCGGCUUGCCAAGUCAGGGGUGAAAUUUUGCGGCUUAACCGUAACAGUGCCUUUGAUACUGGCAGGCUAGAGGGAGACAGGGGUCCGCGGAACUUCUGGUGGAGCGGUGAAAUGCGUUGAUAUCAGAAGGAACGCCGGUGGCGAAAGCGGCGGACUGGAUCUUUUCUGACGCUGAGGCGCGAAAGCUAGGGGAGCAAACGGG